rnacentral:misc_RNA from 1 species
GCCCUUUAAUAAUUAAAGCAAAUGAAUUCACAUUUGUGUAGUGAAAGUAAGUACUUCCUAAUUUCUUGUAACACAAUUAUUUUGCAAUCCUCGAAGCUUCAUUCCCCUUCCGAGUUUUUGGCAGAUUCGAUGACUAAUAACAGCCAGUGUACAUAACAAAUCUCAUGCGUCCCACUUGGUCCCAAAAACAGAACAUACCAGUGAUUAUUCUUCCACCCGAAGAAUCAGGACACCAACGCCUAAGCAAGCCUCCAUUAGCCCCUAAAUGUGUCCCCGUCCACUGAGCUACAAACUCGCAAUUAAUAAUUCUGAAUUCGUCAAUGAUUAAUAAAACGUAGCAUUUCUAUAUAAAAAGUUU